CGAUGAAUCACGUGGGCAUCUUGUUAAAAUGCAGAGUUUUGAGUCGAGGGUCUGGGGAGGGCUGAGAUUGUGCACUUCUAAGGAGAUGCCAGGUGGUGCUAAUUCUGCUGCACUGGACACCACACUUAGAGUGGCGAGGUCACUAAAUAAUAGGAGCAAAAGGAUCGUGAGAACACCGACAUCAGUGAGAAGGAGGCUGGCUGCAGAGACCAUGAAAAUGAAAUCUAUGCAUGGAGUGCAAUCUUGCUGAGAACAAUUUGUUUCCUUUCUAUAUUGUCUCUCCAUGCCCUGCUCGCUCCC
rnacentral:lncRNA from 1 species